AUGAAGCCAGCGGACCAAGUGGAGAUUUGGGAGGCCAUCUUGGCGGAUCCGCUUGAUUGGCUUCCAUCUUCUGUUACUAUUCCUCGUCCAAGCCAGGUGGAAGAAUACUUCAGUUAUGUGUAUGGCGAUGAUGACAUGGAAAUCAACAAAUUUGCACAAGAGCCCGAAGAUGGGCAGUGCCACCAGCAAUAUUUGGGAGAAUUCAUAUUAAACAAAAAUGGGAGGUGUGCCCCACAAGGUCCUCGCAAGAGGAGGAUAUUUCCUUCGGAAAGUAGAGGCAAGAAAUUGCACAGUCGAAAAAACAAUGAACACUGGACACUUGAAGAAGUGAAGAAGCUGAUUAGGGGUGUUAGGAGAUAUGGUGAACGGCGAUGGACUAAGGUGAAGCGUCAUUACUUCUCAUCAUCAGUUCGAAAGCCAACACAUCUCAAGGAUAAGUGGAGAAAUAUCCGGAGAGCUUGUGGAGUCCCGUGCCGCUCCAAAAGGAAGGAGAAGGCACAGAAGACUAUGUUCCGGCCCCUAGAUUCAAAGUCGGUCAAAGAGAUCCGAAGAGGUCUAGCAGACUUGGCUAAGAAACGGUUCCUGACUGAAUCAGCCAUAGAAGAUAAACUAGAUUUCAUCGCUACUUGA
rnacentral:rRNA from 1 species